CACCAGCGCCACAAGUGGGGAUCAGUAUUAUUGGGCCUAAAGCGUUCGUAGCCGGCUAGAUAAAUCUUUUGUGAAAUAGUUAGGCUUAACCUAACUGCGCGCAGAAGACACUGUUUAGCUUGAGACCGGGAGGAGUAAGAGGUAUUCGUGGGGUAGCGGUAAAAUGCAAUAAUCCCUCGAGGACCACCAGUGGCGAAGGCGUCUUACUAGAACGGGUCUGACGGUUAGGAACGAAAGCUAGGGGA
rnacentral:rRNA from 1 species